GAUGAACGCUGGCGGCGUGCUUAACACAUGCAAGUCGAACGAAGCAGAUUGAGAUCUUCGGAAGGAUAUCUGACUGAGUGGCGGACGGGUGAGUAACGCGUGGGUAACCUGCCUCAUACAGGGGGAUAACAGUUAGAAAUGACUGCUAAUACCGCAUAAGCGCACAGUACCGCAUGGUACAGUGUGAAAAACUCCGGUGGUAUGAGAUGGACCCGCGUCUGAUUAGCUAGUUGGUGGGUAACGGCCUACCAAGGCGACGAUCAGUAGCCGACCUGAGAGGGUGACCGGCCACAUUGGGACUGAGACACGGCCCAAACUCCUACGGGAGCAGCAGUGGGGAAUAUUGGGGCAAUGGGCGCAAGCCUGACCCAGCAACGCCGCGUGAAGGAAGAAGGCUUUCGGGUUGUAAACUUCUUUUAUAAGGGACGAACACAAUGACGGUAGCCAAGAAGGAAGCCCCGGCUAACUACGUG
rnacentral:rRNA from 1 species